GUACUUGCUUUGACAGUACAUACACUAAGAUUGGCACAACACAGAGAAGAUUAGCAUGGCCACUGUGCAAAACGGACAUGCAAAGAUGUGAAGGAUUUCCUUUGUAU
ensembl:snRNA U6 U6 spliceosomal RNA